rnacentral:lncRNA from 1 species
ACCUCUCUAUGAAAGCUUAAAAGUUGGAAGGACCCCUCUAUAAAACAUAUUUUGACCUUUCUGAUUUAAAAUCAAAUAGAUAGGGCUGAAACUUUGAAAAUGUGUAGGAAACUGUGGAAAAAUGCUAAAAAUGUAAACCCAAUUUUGUUGGACUCCAGAUGAUGUGUAGUUUCACUGAAAAAUAUUUUUGGACAUGCUACUAUUAUGUAUUUCACCUUAUGAUUUAUUUUGUAUAAAAGCCAAUAAAUGCCUUAUAAAUCAUAGGAUGCUCUGAAAAAUAUGAAACCACUUCUGUUAGUUUAUGAUCUUACAAUUUUAAGUCCAAUGCCUAAAUGCUAAGUUGGUUGGUUUAAAAUUCAGAAAUAGGAUAACUUUCCAAAUGAAUGUUGAGCAACCCCAAAAUGACCCCUCCCC